UGGGAACGUGCCUUUCACUACGGAAUAGUCCCGGGAAACUGGGUUUAAUACCGUAUACGCCCUUCGGGGGAAAGAAUUUCGGUGAGAGAUCGGCCCGCGUCUGAUUAGGUAGUUGGUGGGGUAAUGGCCUACCAAGCCGACGAUCAGUAGCUGGUUUGAGAGGAUGAUCAGCCACACUGGGACUGAGACACGGCCCAGACUCCUACGGGAGGCAGCAGUGAGGAAUCUUGGACAAUGGGGGCAACCCUGAUCCAGCCAUGCCGCGUGAACGAUGAAGGCCUUAGGGUUGUAAAGUUCUUUCAACGGUGAAGAUAAUGACGGUAGCCGUAGAAGAAACCCCGGCUAACUCCGUGCCAGCAGCCGCGGUAAUACGGAGGGGGUUAGCGUUGUUCGGAAUUACUGGGCGUAAAGCGCACGUAGGCGGACUAUUAAGUCAGAGGUGAAAUCCCGGGGCUCAACCCCGGAACUGCCUUUGAUACUGGUAGUCUAGAGUUCGAGAGAGGUGAGUGGAAUUCCGAGUGUAGAGGUGAAAUUCGUAGAUAUUCGGAGG
rnacentral:rRNA from 1 species